CUGACAGAAGAGAGUGAGCACACACUAAACCUAAUUGUAUGAGAAAUUUUUCUUAAAAAAAGUUGAAAGUUCAUACCUUUACUUAGUAUGUGCUCAUUUCUCUUUCUGUCAG
rnacentral:pre_miRNA from 1 species